AUUGAACGCUGGCGGCAGGCUUAACACAUGCAAGUCGGACGAGUGGCGGACGGGUGAGUAAUAUAUUGGAACGUACCGAGUAAUGGGGGAUAACCAAUCGAAAGAUUGGCUAAUACCGCAUAUCAUUCGAUCGGCCAAUAUCUGAUUAGCUAGUAGGUGGGGUAAAGGCCUACCAAGGCGACGAUCAGUAGCGGGUCUGAGAGGAUGAUCCGCCACACUGGUACUGAGACACGGCCCAGACUCCUACGGGAGGCAGCAGUGGGGAAUAUUGGACAAUGGGCGCAAGCCUGAUCCAGCCAUGCCGCGUGUCUGAAGAAGGCCUUCGGGUUGUAAAGGACUUUUGUUAGGGAAGCGUUACCUACAGAAUAAGCACCGGCUAACUCCGUGCCAGCAGCCGCGGUAAUAC
rnacentral:rRNA from 1 species